GUGAGAUGUUGGGUUAAGUCCCGCAUCGAGCGCAACCCUUGAUCUUAGUUGCCAGCAUUCAGUUGGGCACUCUAAGGUGACUGCCGGUGACAAACCGGAGGAAGGUGGGGAUGACGUCAAAUCAUCAUGCCCCUUAUGACCUGGGCUACACACGUGCUACAAUGGAUGGUACAAAGGGCUGCAAACCUGCGAAGGUAAGCGAAUCCCAUAAAGCCAUUCUCAGUUCGGAUUGCAGGCUGCAACUCGCCUGCAUGAAGCCGGAAUCGCUAGUAAUCGCGGAUCAGCAUGCCGCGGUGAAUACGUUCCCGGGCCUUGUACACACCGCCCGUCACAACACGAGAGUUUGUAACACCCGAAGUCGGUGAGGUAACCUUCAUGGAGCCAGCCGCCUAAGGUGACAGAGUUGGG
rnacentral:rRNA from 1 species